UACGUAGGGGGCAAGCGUUGUUCGGAAUUACUGGGCGUAAAGGGCGCGUAGGCGGUUCGUUAAGUCCUGUGUGAAAUCCCCCGGCUCAACUGGGGAACUGCACAGGAAACUAGCGGGCUUGAGUUCGGGAGAGGGAAGCGGAAUUCCGGGUGUAGCGGUGAAAUGCGUAGAUAUCCGGAGGAACACCGGUGGCGAAGGCGGCUUCCUGGACCGACACUGACGCUGAGGCGCGAAAGCUAGGGGAGCAAACGGG
rnacentral:rRNA from 1 species